rnacentral:rRNA from 1 species
UACGGAGGGUGCGAGCGUUGUCCGGAAUCAUUGGGCGUAAAGGGCGCGUAGGUGGCCCGGUCAGUUCGUGGUGAAAGCGCGGGGCUCAACUCCGCGUCGGCCAUGAAUACUGCGGGGCUGGAGCACUGUAGAGGCAGGCGGAAUUCCGGGUGUAGCAGUGAAAUGCGUAGAUAUCGUAAGGAAGACCAGUGGCGAAGGCGAGUCUCUGGACAGCAACUGACGCUGAGGCACGAAGGCCAGGGGAGCAAACGGG